AUUGAACGCUGGCGGCAUGCCUAACACAUGCAAGUCGAACGAGUGGCGGACGGGUGAGUAAUGUCUGGGAAACUGCCUGAUGGAGGGGGAUAACUACUGGAAACGGUAGCUAAUACCGCAUACCAUCAGAUGUGCCCAGAUGGGAUUAGCUAGUAGGUGGGGUACCGGCUCACCUAGGCGACGAUGCCUAGCUGGUCUGAGAGGAUGACCAGCCACACUGGAACUGAGACACGGUCCAGACUCCUACGGGAGGCAGCAGUGGGGAAUAUUGCACAAUGGGCGCAAGCCUGAGGCAGCCAUGCGGCGUGUAUGAAGAAGUCCUUCGGGGUGUAAAGUACUUUCAGCGGGGAAGCGUUACCCGAAGAAGAAGCAACGGCUAACUCCGUGCGAGCAGCCGCGGUAAUUC
rnacentral:rRNA from 1 species